AAUAUUGGACAAUGGGGGCAACCCUGAUCCAGCCAUGCCGCGUGUGUGAAGAAGGUCUUCGGAUUGUAAAGCACUUUAAGUUGGGAGGAAGGGCUUUAGGCUAAUACCAUGAAGUUUUGACGUUACCAACAGAAUAAGCACCGGCUAACUCUGUGCCAGCAGCCGGGGUAAUACAGAGGGUGCAAGCGUUAAUCGGAAUUACUGGGCGUAAAACGCGCGUUGGUUGUUCAGUAAGAAGGAAGUGAAAUACCCGGGCUUAACCUGGGAAAUGGUUUCAUAACUGAUGGGCUAGAGUAAGGUAGAGGGUAGUGGAAUUUCCUGUGUAGCGGUGAAAUGCGUAGAUAUAGGAAGGAACACCAGUGGCGAAGGCGACUACCUGGACUGAUACUGACACUGAGGUGCGAAAGCGUGGGGAGCAAACA
rnacentral:rRNA from 1 species